AAAAGUUAAUUUUAUUUUAAAAAGAGAAUGUGUUUAAACAGGCUAAUGCCUACAGAACAUCUGUGACAAAAACUAUCAGAAGAUAAAUUUAAACUCUUUUUCUUACUUAAAACACCACUGCUCUUUGAAUGGAACUAGUCAUCAAGACAAAAAUGUGGUUUGGUUUAGUAAUGGAAGAUUUUAGGAUUGAUAGACAGCCAAUUCUCAGAGUCAUUUUCUAUUUCCACAUUUACAUAAGAGGCAAUCAAACCCACAGCCUUCUGAUUGAAAUUCCAGACAGACAAAUGAACAAUAUUUAACAUUUUGGAUCCUGUGCAUGUAGUCUAUCAGUGACAUCUCAGCCUGUGCCCUGUUUGGUGCAGGAUUUAUACAUCAACAAGAUUUCAGAGAUAGGAGCAGCAAAGUUUUUCUGUUUAGUCCAGCCCUUAGAUAGAAAAAUCAAGUACAAAAUCCUCUUCAAGGGAAACGUCUUGCGUAAAGUAACUUACCUGAUGCCACAAAAGCCAAUGAGUACAAAAAUCACAAAUUUAAGUCAGUGUUUCAGGGCUGUCACCUCAAACCCACAACUGCUCUGUGUACGGCAAGUUCUAAGGCUUCCCAGACUCACUGAUAAAACCAGAUGAAGCCUUUGAAAAGGGGAAGCAUUUAAGAAAGGAGUUUCUGUUCUGCCACGGAGAGAUAACCAAACUGCUCCCAUUAUAGAAACAGCACUAUCUGGUCUCAAAUUCUAAAAAUACUUCAUUUUUAGAGUGCAUUAAAACAGAACACAAAGCCAAGCCCAAGAAGAACAAGCUCCUCAAGACUUGCAGAGCUUUGAAAAACUCCUUUAAAAUCCACAAACCACUUCUAUUAUGGAGGUAAUGGCCAAUUUUUAAUCCAACGCCAAUUAAAGCGCGGAGUUAGAGCGCGAUUAUAAAAUGGGACUAGUCCCUGACCCUUACCUACCAUCAGGAUAGUGGUCAUCACCAUGGAAAGGUUACCCUGGUUCAUUAACUUUAAUUACCCUUCCUCCUGGACUCAGGGCUCCCAGUGUUCCCUGCAAAGAGCAGGUCCCUUUGUGCGCAUAAAUUCUCACAGCUCACAAAACCCACAUUACCACAACAGCUUCAUUGAUAGCCGAGAAAAAUAAAAGAUUUGGCACCAGCUAAAAAUCCUACUGGGGCCUUGCCAAAAUGUCAGGCCUGCCUGGAAAGGCUUUGUUGGCUCACAUGAAAUUUAAUAGCAAACCUGAAUGACUCCGAUGAAAACUCAGAUUUUGGAAGUUACCUAACCCGGGCUGACAGAAUUAAACGUGAGCACUGAGAGAGGAGCAUGAGCACCCAGCUGGUGCUGAGCAUCCCCAGAGCAACACCCUGAACACAACUGGACACAAAUUCCGUGCCAGACUCAUUUUUCAUCAUGAAGUAAAACUGUAGUUCCCAUGAAAGAAAGGCUCCAUCAUUAUCUAGACCCAAUGAAAAUAAUUUUUUGUUUAUUGCCUUAUUGCAGAAGUGUAUACAUAUUUUACAGGAAGGUUCCAUGUUUUAAAAGGAAUAUUUCUUAAUGCAUAAAUGCAUCUUGUACUGGUAAUGUCAAGUAAAUAAUUUUUUCUAGUUCUCCUAAAAUUUGUAAUUGUUUUCCCAUGGUAUGAAGCAAAAAAAUAGUUGUUUGGUGGUUUGUGGGAUUGUUCUUAUUUACUUGGGGUUGGGUUUGAUUGUUUUGGUUUGGUUGGGUUUGAGUUUUUUGGGGAUUUUAAAGUUUUUUUUGAAGUCAAGCUUCACUCUAUUUCCCAACCAGUAUCACUGCUUGUAUUCUAGCUGGUAAUUCAGAUUUUAUGGGAGGGUUUUUUUCACCCAACCAGGACAGGUACCAAAGCCCAAUGUUCCAAGAAGAGGACAGAGGCCACAAACCCCAGGCAGCAGCAGUGGGGCAGCUCGAGGGGAGCCCAGCAGUCUCACACCAAUGUAACUCUGGUAGCACUGGGGAACUCAAGGAGGAAAGGAUCUUCCCUCUGCAUCCAAGCAAUAUGGAACACAGCAAAUUGAUGCUGCUUUAUUAAAGCAAGUCUCUAUUCAGCUUUAGGAGCAGAGCAGGAGAAUUUUCAAACCUAGCUUCAAGGCAACAAGAAAAAAACAUGAAAGCAAUUAUAUUUACCCAAAGCUUUUACCAGCUACGUUUAGGAAGUCAAAUUUCUCCUCCAGCAUCCUCAGCUUAUUUCCUCUACAUUUUUUCUGAAUAGAAAUUCAACACUUUGAAUUAAAUAUGUUCUGUGAGUAUUUCUAAACUGCUUGCUCAGUCAAAAUUUUUUCUGUAAUGUCUGAGUUCUUUUCUUCCCUUACUCUCUAGAUGAUUAAAAGGUGCCAGAGAAGUGCUCAAAUUAGAGGACGUACAUUCCCAACAAUCCACACAUUUCCUGUCAAUCCCUCCUUAAUUUCAAUUUCUCAGAAAAGCAGCAAAGCAGCCUUCUCCAAACCCUCUAAAUAUCAAAAUUUUUGGGGUGCUUUCAGCCCAGAUUCAGACACAUUCUCAGGGACAGUUCUCUAACCCCUGUUAACUCUGUUUUCUUCAUGUGGUGAAAUCCUUGGUGGGAUUUUGGUACAGGUCUUCCUCAGUGAGUACAUUCCAGUCCUGGUGACAUAUUUACCUACAUUCUUUAGUCAAGUAGUACUUCCAUGUCUCUGCAAGAACAGUUAUCUAUGGAAUAUAAAAGAAUUGUGGAUCUACAGUACUUCUGCAAGGUGCAUCAGUCAUCCCCCAGAUCCCUCACAGGAGGGCUAACUUCAGCAGAGACCACAUUGCCCAGGGAAUUAUUCAGUUGUACUUUGUCCAAAGAGGGACAUUUCAGACUGGCUCCCUGCUGCAAUGACUAAUUAACUUCAUUACAAUUUCCCCCCCUAAUAUCUAACAGGAUAUUCCCUUCCUGUCCUGUAUCCUAUCCCUCUGCUCCCCACAAAAUGAGCCUGGCUAUCUCCAUGCUCCCACCAGUAGCUGAAGACAGCUCUAGGAUCUUCCCAUGAACCUUUUUUCUACCAGAUGAACAAAACCAGCUCCCUGAGCAUCUCCUCACACAUCACACACUCCAGCCCUGACCACCUUGGUCAGUUCAGUUUGACACAAUCCUUAUUGUCCCAGAGAGCCCAAACCACGCACAGCACUCCAGAUGUGUCCCCAAGCACCCAGAAGAGGAACAUCACCCUCCCCUCUCCCUGCUGGCCGUGCUUGUGCUGGUACAGCCCAGCAGGACAGGCCAGCCUUCAGUGUCACAAGGACAUGUUGUUGAUGCACACUCAGCUUUCCAGUGCCUUGCAAAUCCUUCCAUGCAGUCAGUCCCCAGCCUGUCCUCCUGCACAGCUGUCACAGGGGCAGGAUGAGAACCUCACAAUACUCUCCUGCAGCCCCCCUGGACUCAUGGUCCUGUUCCCCAUUUCAUCAGCCACUGCCCUCCCAGUCAGCUGCCAGGACAGGCUUGCUGGGACUUUACUGGAGCAUCACCGUCUCUACAAUUAAGAAAGAUUCCUCUCAGAAAUACCAAACCAAGGUGUAAGAUCUCUCAAAAGCCUUCUACAAAAGGAUGUCACUUCUCCAAGUAGCACCCACACCUUUAGUUACGUGCCAGCAGCACUGCCCACUUUGCGAGGAGCAUUUAAGAGCAUAAAUACAAAACCAGCCUUAAAUCUUCUUGCAGUAUCACACUCCCUGGUUUCUGAGCCACAGUUCAGCUGGAUACAAGUUGGCUGAAUACAAGGAGGUUUUUUUAAGGAUAGGCAUACAGUCUCAAAUGUGAAAGCCCCAUGAAGUUGAGUAACCUCCAGGAUUCAGCAGCUGUUUGUGUUUCAGAGCUUAGAAGCCAUCUGUGUUUUGUUUCUGAGAUCCCUUCAUCCUGUACACAAGUCUUGUCUUUAAAUAUCUUAUGGAUAGCAGUGUUUUCCUCAGGCAAAACAGCAUCCUUCAUGUCUGCUGCUCUCUCUUCAUCUUUUUCAUCUUUCCAUGCUGCUUUUGAAGGAGCCUUGUCAUUUCUGCUGUGCUGCCCACGUACACAAUGGGCACGCUGGGCCCAGUGCUCUGAAUCUCCCUCUGUUCCCAACCUACAGAUUUGUCCUCAUUUAUCUAAUGGAAGGAAGCAAACAGAAUUCCUUCGGACUAAAGGAAAAGCAAAAUGAUGUAGAAGCAAAAUUACACAGCAGUUGCACUUCAGUGAGAGAGCAGAGGUACCACAUCAAUAAAGACUGUUUCACUAAUGCUUUCCCUCAAAAAAUUGUUUCACUUGCCAAAGAGAAGAGAAAUGGAGACAGAAGAAAAAUCAUCCUGGUUGCUUUGCUGUUAUUUCUAAAGCAGGCUCAUAGGAACACUUCAACAUUUAAGAAAGCCUGAUAUAACACCAAAUAUCUUUUUUUUUAAUAGAAUGAUUUCUACACGGUCCCUAUUUCUAUUGUUACCAAAACAAUUACAUGGCUUUAUGGACUGCACUGUCAUUCACUGUGUCUGCCCUGUAAGGGCAAAAGAGAUCAAUUCCACCUUGCCUACGGAAUUAUAAACCACAUCUCCAAAGCACAACACACAUACUGGUCCUAAGUACCAACAUUACUCCUUAAAACUUGCUUUUGGCAAUUCACUUACCCAUUCCCUCUUCCAGAAUAAGCACUGGAAUUUUGAAACAUGUGGCAUAUCUGACCCAUAAGGAGGCCAGGGAGGGCAGACUCAAAGAGCAGUUAAUAAGGAACCAGUGCCAGAUGCUGACACCUUCAUCCAAAACUGCAUUAGGGUUCAAUUCCCUGGGAACACAGUUCUGCACACGAGCCUGAGUGUUACUGCCCCAGUAUUUCCCCAGGGCCUACACAAACAGCUCCUCACGCCUAACAUGCAGCACACAACACUGUUCUUGUGUACUUUUGGGGUUGUUUGGGGGACAAUUUUGUUUUAAUCUAUGUACCUGGGUUGCAACUACUCAAAUACUUCUCCUUCCUCGUAGAAAAGCAGAGAGAACCCUCUAGCCUCCCACAUGGAGAGCUGCCAGAGAAAUGCACCUUGCAGGGAAAAGCAGGAAUAACAGGAGCUUUCUGUUUUCAUCUGCAGCCUAAAGCUUUAAAGUACCUAACAGUGGUUUCAGCUGCAACUGUGAAUUUCUCUUAGUUUAUGUUUCUGCAAGGUAUAUUCUGUUAUGUAUACCAAAUCCAACUUCCUAAUUCUCCCAUCCAGAGUCAUUCCAGUCUCAGUGAUAAUGUGAUUAAAAUGAUGGAGGAUAUAGUGGCAAUCACUAACUUCCCAUUUUUAAUUUCUCUUUUUUUCAUAUAUAGGAAGACAUCAGGCUGCAUUCUCAGUUCUACAUCCCACAAUGCCUGCAGUUCCAUUUCAAACUGCUUUAAGAGAUUUCCAAAGCAUCAGGAACACUGCACUUACUCAGUCAGCUGUGGCAGGUAUUAAGAACACGAGUACCAGAUGGAAAUGAGCUCCAGCACAAGUUACUGGCUGCCAGCAGAGAUGUUAAAUUCUCUUUCAGUUACUUUCAGCCUACUCUAAGUGAAAGAUAAACCAUGCUAAAAGGCAGUUUAGGCCAAGCUAAUCCAUGUUCCACCCAAAACUGACAAACAAAGGCUCAGUGACUCAGGCACUAGCAGCAACUUAAGAUCUAGUUCAGCUACUCACCAACCUAUGCCCUCUACCUUGACACCAGCAUCUGAAUCCAGCAGGCUUGGUACUACUAAAUUAGAAUUAUUUUUCUAGUCAGUAAUAAGUGGUUAAAAUAUUUUUUGAGGUUAAUCAAAUUACUGAGCCAUUUAUAGUUCAUUUAUAGCUACGGCAGGUCUGAACAUCAGAGAUGAAAAUUUGCUUCCAAUACUUAAUUCUACAUGAUAGGAAACUUCAGAAUCUCCUUCUAAGUAUGAUUUUGCUGUUUCACUCCAAAAGAUUCAAGUUGAAGAAAAUACUGAUUUUUGAGAAGAACCUAACUCCUCUAACAAGGAGUGCAGAGUGAGAUGAUUUUUCUUCAGUUGCCAAAGUCUUCUGAAAAAAACCCACUCAGCAAGUGAGUAAGGAGGGAGGAUGUCUUUGAAGGGAAGAGUACACCACUGCUCCCUUUUGCACUAGCACUGGAUCUGUCCAAGGUUAGCCAGGGAGCUUUCCAGCUCCAGUCUGUAAAACACAUCCUGACAUAACUGGCUACAUUCCCACCAGCUCAUUAAACUCCACCUAUACUCAAAAGGAAAACUCCAGCAAUGGGAAACAGCCCCAAGAACUUCUCCUGGCCUGUCACGAGCUAAAUUAAAUGGCAAAACUGAUCAUCUCAAAAACAUUUCAGCUUUUACAAGCCUCAGUGGACCUGGAUGCAAAACUGAGAGCAACUUCACAAACAGCCCACAGGGAAACUUUGGGAAGGUAUCCCACGACCUAUAAACAGAGCUACAGCAAGAAAGGACCACCAUGAGGGACAGAGAUCCAGGACUCCACCUCUGCUGCACUUGUCAAGAUAUGACACUUCUCCCCUACUGUGCCUUCGGCCUCUUUUAAUAAUGCUUCUCGUCUUCCAUGGGACAUCGGUUUGGAAAAAAUCCAGCUUGCUUCCCAGAAAUGUUUCCUUCUGCUGGAAGCAGUUCCACAUUCACUCUACUUGCAUUGCAAACCAGCAGCAGCUUGUUUUGGAAGCUGAAUCACCACCUGUCUGACACCACCAGGGAAAAAAAAGGAGGAUUUCUAGGUGGAUUCUGUACCCGAUGCCAGACCUACGCCAGCGCACUCCUUAUGUUCCUUGUCAGGAGAGCACUGCUGACCAAAAGGGGCACUGAGGCUCACAUCUAGGCCUGCUCAGGUCUGUCAGCUGUUCCCAAUGAAACAGGAGUUUAAAAUAAAUUUCAAGACUUCUUGUCAGGAAAAAAAAAAAAAAAAAA